rnacentral:rRNA from 1 species
GGGAAUCUACCCUGAACUGCGGAAUAGCUCCGGGAAACUGGAAUUAAUACCGCAUGUGCCCUGAGGGGCAAAGAUUUAUCGGUUCAGGAUGAGCCCGCGUCGGAUUAGCUAGUUGGUGGGGUAAUGGCCUACCAAGGCGACGAUCCGUAGCUGGUCUAAGAGGAUGAUCAGCCACAUUGGGACUGAGACACGGCCCAAACUCCUACGGGAGGCAGCAGUGGGGAAUAUUGGACAAUGGGCGCAAGCCUGAUCCAGCCAUGCCGCGUGAGUGAUGAAGGCCCUAGGGUUGUAAAGCUCUUUCAGUGGGGACGAUAAUGACGGUACCCACAGAAGAAGCCCCGGCUAACUUCGUGCCAGCAGCCGCGGCAAUACGAAGGGGGCUAGCGUUGUUCGGAAUUACUGGGCGUAAAGCGCACGUAGGCGGAUAUUUAAGUCAGGGGUGAAAUCCCGGGGCUCAACCCCGGAACUGCCUUUGAUACUGGAUGUCUUGAGUCCGGAAGAGGUGAGUGGAAUUGCGAGU